GACGUAGGGCGCGAGCGUUGUCCGGAUUUAUUGGGCGUAAAGAGCUCGUAGGCGGCUUGUCGCGUCGGCUGUGAAAUCCCCGUGGCUUAACUGUGGGGUCUGCGGUGGAUACGGGGCAGGCUGGAGGCUGGUAGGGGGCAAGCGGAAUUCCUGGUGUAGCGGUGAAAUGCGCAGAUAUCAGGAGGAACACCGGUGGCGAAAAGCAGGCUACUGGACCAUCACUGACGCUGAUCUGCGAAAGCUAGGGGGAGCAAACAGG
rnacentral:rRNA from 1 species